rnacentral:rRNA from 1 species
UACGUAGGGUGCGAGCGUUGUCCGGAAUUAUUGGGCGUAAAGAGCUCGUAGGCGGUCUGUCGCGUCGGCUGUGAAAUCCCGAGGCUCAACCUCGGGUCUGCAGUCGAUACGGGCAAACUAGAGUAUUGCAGGGGAGACUGGAAUUCCUGGUGUAGCGGUGAAAUGCGCAGAUAUCGGGAAGAACACCGGUGGCGAAGGCGGGUCUCUGGGCAAUUCCUGACGCUGAGGCGCGAAAGCGUGGGGAGCGAACGGG